GCAAAAUAAGGUGGUUGAUUUAUUAACCAGAAAUAACACAAAACAGCAAAAACUAAUAAAACAACUAGAUUAAAUAAACAGCCUCACAGCAAGCUGCCACCAACAAACAUUUCCCCCCAGACUCUGGCUGAGUCUCCCUUUAUUCAAGAAACAACCCAACUGAAGGCCUCACUCUGUCCCAUUAGGCUCAGCUGAUUUCACAUCAGCUGAUGAUGAUGUGUUGAUGAUGUGAUGACAUCAUCAACACAUCAUCAUCAGAUCUGACUGUUAAUGUUUCGUUUUCUUACUGAUCAGUCUGACACAUCUAAACGUGUUUCCAGAUUCACUGAAAUUAAAGAUGGCUGCUGUAGGUUGAAUAUCUCUCCCCUCCCCCUUCCCCGUCUGUCCUGCUCAGGCCGACAUCUACAAAGCAGACUUCUUAGCGGAGCGAGAAGCCAGAGAGAAGCUGAACCAGAAGAAGGAGGAGCUACAGGAACAGCUGACUCAGGCCCGCUCUGAGAUUGAACGGUUCAAACAGGAAGCCACGUCACGAGCACGAAUGGAGCAAAUGAAGCUGAGACACCAGGAAGACUUCUCAACACGGGCGCCCCACAUUCCCCCCCACAAGGUGUGUUUGCAGGUGCAGCCUUCAACACGGUGCCCCCUGCCCCCUCGUACCGUAAUCAGGGUCUGUUACCUGUGGGGGACCCGGGGGCAGCGGGGGCAGAGGACCUGCCGGAUCUAUGUUGUCCUAAGUGCCAGUACCAGGCUCCAGACAUGGACACACUGCAGAUACAUGUGAUGGACUGUAUACAGUAAACAGGACACACACACACACACACACAGACACACACACACACAAACACACUGACACACACACACACUGAUACA